GAUGAACGCUGGCGGCGUGCCUAAUACAUGCAGGUCGAGCGAACGGACGAGAAGCUUGCUUCUCUGAUGUUAGCGGCGGACGGGUGAGUAACACGUGGAUAACCUACCUAUAAGACUGGGAUAACUUCGGGAAACCGGAGCUAAUACCGGAUAAUAUUUUGAACCGCAUGGUUCAAAAGUGAAAGACGGUCUUGCCGUCACUUAUAGAUGGAUCCGCGCUGCAUUAGCUAGUUGGUAAGGUAACGGCUUACCAAGGCAACGAUGCAUAGCCGACCUGAGAGGGUGAUCGGCCACACUGGAACUGAGACACGGUCCAGACUCCUACGGGAGGCAGCAGUAGGGAAUCUUCCGCAAUGGGCGAAAGCCUGACGGAGCAACGCCGCGUGAGUGAUGAAGGUCUUCGGAUCGUAAAACUCUGUUAUUAGGGAAGAACAUAUGUGUAAGUAACUGUGCACAUCUUGACGGUACCUAAUCAGAAAGCCACGGCUAACUACGUG
rnacentral:rRNA from 1 species